UACAGAGGGGGCAAGCGUUAUUCGGAAUUAUUGGGCGUAAAGGGCUCGUAGGCGGUCUGUCGCGUCGGGAGUGAAAACUCAGGGCUUAACCCUGAGCCUGCUUCCGAUACGGGCAGACUAGAGGUAUGCAGGGGAGAACGGAAUUCCUGGUGUAGCGGUGAAAUGCGCAGAUAUUGGGAGGAACACCAGUGGCGAAGGCGGCUCGCUGGACCGGAACUGACGCUGAGGCGCGAAAGCGUGGGGAGCAAACAGG
rnacentral:rRNA from 1 species